AACGAAUGCUGGCGGCAGGCUUAACACAUGCAAGUCGAGCGCAUCCUUCGGGGUGAGCGGCGGACGGGUGAGUAACGCGUGGGAACGUGCCCUCUUCUACGGAAUAGCCUCGGGAAACUGAGAGUAAUGCCGUAUACGCCCGCAAGGGGAAAGAUUUAUCGGAGGAGGAUCGGCCCGCGUUGGAUUAGGUAGUUGGUGGGGUAACGGCCUACCAAGCCGACGAUCCAUAGCUGGUUUGAGAGGAUGAUCAGCCACACUGGGACUGAGACACGGCCCAGACUCCUACGGGAGGCAGCAGUGGGGAAUCUUGGACAAUGGGGGCAACCCUGAUCCAGCCAUGCCGCGUGAUCGAUGAAGGCCUUAGGGUUGUAAAGAUCUUUCAGCUGGGAAGAUAAUGACGGUACCAGCAGAAGAAGCCCCGGCUAACUCCGUG
rnacentral:rRNA from 1 species